rnacentral:rRNA from 1 species
UACGUAGGGUGCAAGCGUUGUCCGGAAUUAUUGGGCGUAAAGAGCUCGUAGGCGGUCAGUCGCGUCUGCUGUGAAAACUCGGGGCUUAACCCCGGGCCUGCAGUGGGUACGGGCUGACUAGAGUGCGGUAGGGGAGACUGGAAUUCCUGGUGUAGCGGUGAAAAUGCGCAGAUAUCAGGAGGAACACCGGUGGCGAAGGCGGGUCUCUGGGCCGUAACUGACGCUGAGGAGCGAAAGCGUGGGGAGCGAACAGG